rnacentral:lncRNA from 1 species
ACUGCAGUUAGGUAUUGGACUAUCUGAAUUUCUAAUUCAGUGACGGAAGGCUACUGAGUGUAGUCAAGUACUUGACUUGUCGGUGCGUGUGUCAAGAUGGGAUUGACAACUCCAGUUCAGGAGCUGUGUACAGUCAUGUUUCAAUUUAGCAAAACCUUGGCCAGGGUAGUCCUAGUGAGGAGUCACAGGACUAUUUGAGUU